rnacentral:misc_RNA from 1 species
AAGUGUCUUCGGGUAGGUCCGGCCCCCAACUCGGAGGUAGGACCGCCCGGAACGCCCACCCUUGUAUAACUAAACCAGUGUUGCCUUGGCGGGCCCGCCGGACUUGUUCCGGCCGCCGGGGGGUUGAUCCCCGGGCCCGAGCCCGCCAACGGACUUCAAUUGAACUUCUGAACUGUACGUGUCUGUCUGAGUGAUUAAGAAAUAUAAGCA